CCUGCCCAGUGACCCUUAAACAACAUAAGACAAAAUCUUAUUAAUAGGUUUAAAAGGACGCGGUAACCUUGACCGUGAUAAUGUAGCGUAAUCACUCGCCCUUUAAUUGAUGGAUAGUAUGAAUGGUUGAACGAAUAUUCCACUGUCUUAGAAAGAAUUAAUAAAAAUUGAAAUAAUAGUUAAGAUGCUAUUUAAAACUGUAAGACGAAAAGACCCUAUAGAGCUUAACUAUAAACUUCUUAGACCUCAAAGAAAAGUAGUUCACAAAUUAAGAAGUUUGGUAGUUUAGUUGGGGCGACUAUCUUCUAAAAAUAACGAAGAUAAGCAAUAUUAAUGAUUAAUUUAUUGUAUAACAAAAAAGUUUAACAAGUAUUAAAAUAGGCUAUAAUGACCCGUUUUUACCUUAUAAAAAGAAAAACGAUCAAUUGAUAAAAGCUACCUUAGGGAUAACAGGAUAAUUUUAUUUUAGAGUUCCCAUCGA
rnacentral:rRNA from 1 species